GCGGAUGUGGCGAAAUUGGUAGACGCACCAGAUUUAGGUUCUGGCGGGGAACCAUGGGGGUUCGAGUCCCUCCAUCCGCACCA
rnacentral:tRNA from 1 species